AUCCUUGGAAUUGGACUCUGCCUUUGGAAGAAGAAGAAGAAGAAGAAGAUGGAGACUGCAAGAGGAUUGCAGGAGGAGUCUAAGGACCGUGACGGUGGCAUCCAAUAUGUAGAGCUGAGCCAGCAGGAUUCUCGAGAGAGCACGGACCAGGGUGAUGGUGAACGACGUCUAAAUGAAAAGGAGUCUCUUAAUACUGUCUACAGUGAGGUCCAUAAGCCAGCAAGUGUGCCCAUGAAGAUAAUUUAAUUGGAGGAGGCAGAAGAAUUGACACUCCUAGGACACCUCCAUUCUGAAUUUGAUCCCUGCAGAUACCUGCCCCUACGAGUGCUGGUCCAGCACCAGCUGCCUCUGGUCUGCAUUCCUCUGACCUUUGUGCCCUCAACUCCCUGGGCUCACGUGGCCCUGUCACUUCCUCUGUCAACUCUAUAUGCUGCCUUCCACUCAGGUUCCUCACUCCAGAAGGACUAGUGCUCUUUCUCCGUCAUUGACUCUGCUCCUGAUUCCUCUCCUUCUGAAGUUUCCCUAGGAGGAUCUCCCUACCUGUGCAUGUGUUCAUCCCCACAGCCUCUGCGCUGUGGCUGGUGUGUAUCUUUCUGAGAACAGGAGCCUGGGCGUGGGGACUGUGUGGAGGUUUCGACUACACCAUAGAGGGAGUUAGGAACUUGGAGCUGGGUGUUGAGCUGAGUGUCCAUGGAGGUGGCCUGGAUGGAUGGGUAGGAGCCUACAAAAGACGGGCCUGAGGCGUCCUUUGUAUGGCAAAAGGUGUUGGAGGGACUGUCUAGUAUACAUCAUACA
rnacentral:lncRNA from 1 species